AUUGAACGCUGGCGGCAGGCUUAACACAUGCAAGUCGAACGAGUGGCGGACGGGUGAGUAAUGUCUGGGAAACUGGCUGAUGGAGGGGGAUAACUACUGGAAACGGUAGCUAAUACCGCAUACCAUCGGAUGAGCCCAGAUGGGAUUAGGUAGUAGGUGGGGUAAAGGCUCACCAAGGCGACGAUCCCUAGCUGGUCUGAGAGGAUGACCAGCCACACUGGGACUGAGACACGGUCCAGACUCCUACGGGAGGCAGCAGUGUGGAAUAUUGCGCAAUGGGCGCAAUCCUGAUGCAGCCAUGCCGCGUGUAUGAAGAAGGCCUUCGGGUUGUAAAGUUCUUUCGGCGGGGAGGCGUUACCCGCAGAAGAAGCACCGGCUAACUCCGUGCCAGCAGCCGCGGUAAUAC
rnacentral:rRNA from 1 species